ACAGUCACACGAGUUUGAUCAUCGGGCUCAGAUUGAACGCUGGCGGAAUGCUUUACACAUGCAAGUCGAACGGCAGCACGGGAGCUUGCUCCUGGUGGCGAGUGGCGAACGGGUGAGUAACAUAUCGGAACGUAUCCAAUAAUGGGGGAUAACUAAUCGAAAGGUUGGCUAAUACCGCAUACGCCCUAAGGAUGAGCCCGCGUUGGAUUAGCUAGUUGGUGAGGUAAAGGCUCACCAAGGCGACGAUCCAUAGCUGGUCUGAGAGGAUGAUCAGCCACACUGGGACUGAGACACGACCCAGACUCCUACGGGAGGCAGCAGUGGGGAAUAUUGGACAAUGGGCGAAAGCCUGAUCCAGCAAUGCCGCGUGAGUGAUGAAGGCCUUAGGGUUGUAAAGCUCUUUUACCCGGGAUGAUAAUGACAGUACCGGGAGAAUAAGCUCCGGCUAACUCCGUG
rnacentral:rRNA from 1 species